rnacentral:rRNA from 1 species
UACGGAGGGUGCGAGCGUUGUCCGGAAUCAUUGGGCGUAAAGGGCGCGUAGGUGGCCCCUCAAGCGUGCGGUGAAAGUCAGGGGCUCAACCCCUGAUCGGCCGUGCGAACUGGGGAGCUUGAGCACUGUAGAGGCAGGCGGAAUUCCGGGUGUAGCGGUGGAAUGCGUAGAGAUCCGGAAGAACACCGGUGGCGAAGGCGGGUCACUGGACCAUUACUGACACUGAGGCACGAAAGCUAGGGGAGCAAACAGG